AUUGAUGACAAGUCCCAAACAAGACGAAACGCGCGUCCUGGAU
rnacentral:hammerhead_ribozyme from 1 species